UCAUUUUUAUAAAUUUCCUGAUACAAAACUUUGAAUUUUUCGAAAAACUAAGGAUUUUCUUGUCCCAGGAAUAGAUUACCUUAGCCGUAUUUGGCACAACUUUUUGGAAUUUUGGAUCCUCUAUGCUCUUCAACUUUGUAUUGUUUGGCUUUACAACUAUUUUGAUAUGAGCGUCACUGAUGAGUCUUAUGUAGACAAAACACGUGUCUGGCGUACUAAAUUAUAAUCCUGGUACUUUUG
rnacentral:lncRNA from 1 species